CAGCAGCCACGGGAAUACGAAGGGUGCAAGCGUUAAUCGGAAUUACUGGGCGUAAAGGGAGCGUAGGCGGAUAGUUCAGUCAGAGGUGAAAGCCCAGGGCUCAACCUUGGAAUUGCCUUUGAUACUGGCUGUCUUGAGUAUGGGAGAGGUUAGCGGAACUCCGAGUGUAGAGGUGAAAUUCGUAGAUAUUCGGAAGAACACCAGUGGCGAAGGCGGCUAACUGGCCCAUUACUGACGCUGAGGCUCGAAAGCGUGGGGAGCAAACAGGAUUAGAUACCCCAGUAGUCCCUGUCUCUUAUAU
rnacentral:rRNA from 1 species